UGGAUUGAGCUGGUUGCCUCCUAUUAUUGUGGAGGUGACUCACUUCAUCCCAACUUCUUGAUACUUUCACUUCUGGAGGUCAUAUUUCUCUAAGUUCUUCCAGAAAAAGUUUUAAUGCCGCCUUAGCCUUUUUUACAGUCCAGCUCUUAAUUUUUUUCCUCUUCUUCCCCAAUAAUAACAUGAGUGUGGAUCCAGCUUGUCCCCAAAGCCUGCCUUGCUAUGGAGCAUCCAACUGUAAAGAAUCUUCACCUGUGCCUAUGACUUGUGGGCUUGAAGAAAACUAUCCAUCCUUGCAAAUGUCUUCUGCUGAGAUGCCUCACACAGAGACUGUCUCUCCUCUUCCUUCCUCCAUGGAUCUGCUUAUUCAGGACAGCCAUGAUUCUUCUACCAGUCCCAAAGGCAAACAACACACUUCUGCAGAGAAGAACACCACAAAAAAGGAAGACAAGGUCCCGGUCAAGAAACAGAAGACCAGAACUGUGUUCUCUUCCACCCAGCUGUGUGUACUCAAUGAUGGAUGUCAGAGACAGAAAUACCUCAGCCUCCAGCAGAUGCAAGAACUUUCCAACAUCCUGAACCUUAGCUACAAACAGGUUAAGACCUGGUUCCAGAACCAGAGAAUGAAAUCUAAGAGGUGGCAAAAAAACAACUGGCCAAAGAAUAGCAGUGGUGUGACUUGAGCCUCAGCACUUACCUACCUACAACAACCUCUAACCCUUCUUACCACCAGGGAUGCCUGGUGAACACGACUGGGAACCUUCCAAUGUGGAGCAACCAGACCUGGAGCAAUUCAACCUGGAGCAACCACGCCUGGAACACUGAGACCUGGUGCAUCCAGUCCUGGAACAAUCAGGCCUGGAACAGUUCCUUCUGUAACCAUGGAGAGGAAUCUUGGCAGUCCUAUAUGCAGUUCCAGCCAAAUUCUCCUGCCAGUGACUUGGAGGUUGCCUUGGAAACUUCUGGGGAAAGCCAAAAUGUAAUACAGCAGACCACUAGGUAUUUCGGUACUCCACAAACUAUGGAUUCAUUCCUAAACUACUCCACAAACAGGCAACCUGAAGCUAUGUGA